GUGACCCAAAACAAGGAGUCAUCAUCUCUCCUUAUCUGCAUGUGGCCGGCCAGGCCAUGCGGCAGGUGCUCUGGGUACCAGCUGCCCAUCGUUAUAUAGAGGAGCAAGUUCCCGAAGGGAGUGGCUACUACAGGACAGAACCUGGGACAUGCCAAAUGGAGCUCACAUCGUGGAGCUCGUGAGAAGCUGAGUGCCAGCUGCCACACACAUUCAGAUAUUUGCUGUCGGGCCACGGGCCACGCUGACGGAGAAAAGGUGGCCUAAAUUAUCUGGUAAUGGGGGUGAGAGAGAGAAGGAUGUGGCGACGAAAAGGAAGACAGAAUAAGGAAAGGAAUAGGGACUUCGGGGGACUUUGCCUGGGUUGGAGGUCAGGCUGGGGCCUGGCAGGUAUGAAAGACAGAGGGUGAUAAAAGGGCAUCAGGUGUCAGAGAGCAGCUGGACCAGAAGACGCACCAUCUGACAGCAACACCCAAAGACCUUUGGUCACGUAAUGUGGGGACAGGGAGGGAGGAGCUCUGGCACUGGAGAUAGACUUGGGCACCCGGCAGUGCCCUCCCACCCCACCCACGCUGACUAGUUCACACAGGCCUUGCCCCAUGUCACUGUGCUGCCUUGACACUGACACCCAACGCUGCCGGCCAAGGGACUUCUCAGGGUCCAAACUUCCUACAUUCCCAGGGCUCCCAGAAAUCAGAGCUGAACCCACAAGGCACACAGAGAUGGGUCUCCAAGCUGGCUCCCAAAAAGAAGUGUGUUGAGGGAAACAUUCUCAGCAACAGUGAGAAUGUUUUCACUGGACCACUGUUUACCUUGUUUAAGGAGAAGCUGUCGCUAAGCAUUAAGGUUGCUUUGAUUUGGAGACUUCUCUGCACACCAGAGAAACAGUGGCGAAGGGCCGGCCGCCUUCUGCCCUGCAGUGUCUUCCGGGGCUGUUGGAGGCAGGAUGUGGCCGCCUGGUUCAACAGCUGUGAUUAGUGACCCUGAUGGUAGCCACUGGCUGAGUGAUUGUAAAAUCAGGAAGUGAGGAGGUUUUUGUGUUCCCUCCUGGCCCCUCCUGCAGGAGCUCUGAUGGAAAGGUGAGCGUGCUAAGUGCAGUUGUGCUUUCUGACGUCUGCUCCUGUUUUUGCCCUUUCACUGCUUUUAAUCAAUUCUGGGUUCAGGCACCCCGAGCCUUGAACGUAUGGAAUCUGUCCUGGGAGAAUCUGUUUGUUUUAUAGAGGUGGCGAUGAGCAGAGGCAUCCAGGCAGGUCUAUUCAUGUGGGAAAGCAGAGAGUUGCCCUGGAUCCCACUUCAGGCCAGACCCUUUGUGUCUCCAACGGAGACAGGCCUGGCACUGUCUGUAAGCAACUCUGGAAGAAGACUUUACCUGUAAACGUAUAACAACAACAACAAAAAAGAAUCUAUUUUGGAGCAAAGAAUCCAGAAAAAGGGCUAAUGGCGGAUGAUAGCGUAAGUCUGGCCCAAUGACCCAAAUCCUGAGUUUGUGGAGGUGUUUCCAGGGGCUGAACGGCCAGGCCCAGGCUGACCCCAGGGAACCCCCAAAGCCUAUGAGUGAGGCCUGCGUUUCGGGGUGUGCUCCUUGUUUCCUGUGCCGGCCUGUCUCCACAUGCUGGGUGGUUGUGAAAUAACGGCUUGCAGUGACUCAGCUUUAUAAAUAGGACAUUUACAGUGAACAUUACAGGAAAUUCCCAGAGUCUCCUGCCGGGGCUUAUUUUAGGUGUGCAGCUUACACAAGUGAAACCCCAGCCGCCCUCUUCUAGCCUCUGCUCCCCACAGCAUCCUUGGGUAUCUGAUUUGAGGCACUUGCUUCUGCUGUGUGACAGGAAACUACCCCAGGAGGUCUGAGAGCAAUGAGGAAAGGAGGCGUCCAUCUCCAGCCCCGUUCAGACACGCUCCUGGGAGAGAACAGCUCACAUCUGGCUCACGUUCCCAUGUGCCAAGCGCUCUGCUGUGUUACCUCAGUGACUUUCACUGACUCCCAAGGAAGUAAUAGGGAUGGGGAAACUGGAAUUCAAACCCAUGUCCAACUCCCUCUGGAUCUCGAGAGAUUAACCACAGACACAACUUCUCCCGAACACAGAACAAGAAGGCAAAAGAAAGCAGAGGUCCCUGUUUUCAGGGGAGGACAGGAGAAAGGUGCCAGUACCCUGGCCUUUGGUUAUAUUUCCCUUUCCCUCCUCAGUAACACAUUUCUUGGCAGGGCGUCUGUUCUGGAAAACCAGACUUGAACUUGGAGUGGCUCAACAGCCCUUGCUGUAGCUCGGUUUGAUGGAGAAGCUGAGAGAGCUGCUUGCACCCGAGUAGGAGGCUCUGUCAUUGGAGGAGCUCAGGCCAUUGCAGGCUUAGGGCCUAAAUGUUGUGCAAAUAUUUGCCCAACAACUCCCAGUGUGCCUUGGAACAAGCAGCAGGAGCAGCCCUGGCUGAGUCCCUGAAGAGAAAUGUGGAUGUGAUGCCUUUGAAUGGCUCCCAGCUUCUACUUCCUCAUAAUUUGCCAGGAUCUCUGUCACCAACGAGCCUGGUUACAAGGAGAGGGGGCUCCGUGCUAGCCUGCCGGGCACAGUGGAACCUUCCGCAUUCUCCAGAUGAAGCCGGCACACCCAUGCCUUCAUCAAGCAGCAGGCACUGCCAAUGCGUUUUUGAGCUACAGAAUUGUAUUCCCAGCAAUUUGUGAGAUUCUCCCCCUAGAUCCUCGCAAAGCUUCUGAAUUUAUCGUGUUCAAAACAGAACAUCCAAACUGGCUUGUCUUGUAUUCUCUUUCAGUUAAGGCUGCCUUCCCUAGUCCCCCUAGUUAGAAACGAUAGGCUCAUCCUUUAGCCCUCUGCUGCUCUGCCCUUGCCCCCCCCCACCCCAGUCUGAUUGAUUCUCCCUCAUAGCUUUCCCCUCAGUGCCUGGAGUGCAUGGGUCUGACCCAGUGGGUGGUUGGCAGGGGUAGGAGUGGGAGUUGGGAGGGGCACAUGACCCAAGCUGAGCUCAUUAGGGCCCUUCCCCAGGAUUUUUCUAGCUGCAGCAGGCUCUUUUCUCUCUAGAUGCUUGCUGGAAGGGUAGGAAUCCAGAGAAACCUGUGGCCAUGCAUCCACAGCCUGGCAAAGCCUGCCUGCAGCAGCAAGGGGACAUGGUACUGCAAAGAGAAGCUGUGAUGAGCCGCGGAGAGGGACUUCCUGAGGGGACAGAGCUCCCAGUGCAGCUGUCCCCAAACCAGGUCCACCCCCGCCCCCAUCCAUCCUCCACAGGCCACCAGGAUUCUUUUCCAUUUUCUCCAACUUUUUGUUUUAAAAAAAUCCAGCUACAAAGAAGCUGACAGAAUAAUCCAGUGAAUACCUACAUACCUUCACCUACAUUCACCAGUUAUUAGCAUUCAGUGACAGUUAUGUUCCCUUUUUUCCUGUAUAUUCAUGUAUGUGUGUUUUCUCUGAACCAUUUGAAAAUAAGUUGCUGAUGUCAUGACACUUCUCCUCUACAUAUUUCUGCAUGUAUUGCCUUAGAAUGCAAACAUUUUCCUACACAGUUACAAUACCGUGAUCACAUUCAAGAAAUUUAACAGGGCUGGGCGCUGUGGCUCAUGCCUAUAAUCCCAGCACUUUAGGAGGCCAAGGUGGGUGGAUCACAAGGUUGGGAGUUCAAGACCAGCCUGGCCAAUGUGAAACCCCAUCUCUACUAAAAAUACAAAAAAAUCAGCCAGGCAUGGUGGUAGGCACCUGUAAUCCCAGCUACUUGGGAGGCUGAGGCAGGAGAAUCACUUGAAACUGGAAGGUGGAGGUUGCAGUGAGCCAAGAUCACGCCACUGCACUCCAGCCUGGUCAAUAAGAGUGAAACUCUGUCUAAAAAAAAAAAUAAAAGAAAAA
rnacentral:lncRNA from 1 species